rnacentral:rRNA from 1 species
GUUUGUUGGUGAGGUAACGGCUCACCAAGACCACGAUGUCUAUGGGGUCUGAGAGGAUGGUCCCCCACACUGGUACUGAGACACGGACCAGACUCCUACGGGAGGCAGCAGUGAGGAAUAUUGGUCAAUUGGGCGAAAGCCUGAACCAGCCAUGCCGCGUGAAGGAUGACAGCGCUAACGCGUUGUACACUUCUUUUGUACGGGAAGAAACACUUCUACUUGUAGAAGCUUGACGGUACCGUACGAAUAAAGCAUCGGCUAACUCCGUGCCAGCAGCCGCGGUAAUACGGAAGAUGCAAGCGUUAUCCGGAUUUAUUGGGUUUAAAGGGUACUUAGGCGGGGAAAUUAAGUCAAUGGUGAAAUCCUGCAGCUCAACUGUAGAACUGUCAUUGAUACUGGUUUUCCUUGAAUGUAGUUGAGGUAGGCGGAAUGUGUAAUGUAGCGGUGAAAUGCUUAGAUAUUACACAGAACACCGAUUGCGAAGGCAGCUUACUAAACUACGAUUGACGCUGAGGUACGAAAGCGUGGGGAGCGAACAGGAUUAGAUACCCUGGUAGUCCACGCUGUAAACGAUGAUCACUCGUUUGUUGGCGAUAUACUGUCAGCGACUGAGCGAAAGCAUUAAGUGAUCCACCUGGGGAGUACGACCGCAAGGUUGAAACUCAAAGGAAUUGACGGGGGCCCGCACAAGCGGAGGAACAUGUGGUUUAAUUCGAUGAUACGCGAGGAACCUUACCUGGGCUUAAAUGCAGAACGACGGACCGGGAAACUGGUCUUUCUUCGGACGGACUGCAAGGUGCUGCAUGGCUGUCGUCAGCUCGUGCCGUGAGGUGUCGGGUUAAGUCCCAUAACGAGCGCAACCCUCAUCAUUAGUUGCCAGCGGGUAAUGCCGGGGACUCUAAUGAAACUGCCGGUGUAAACCGAGAGGAAGGUGGGGAUGACGUCAAGUCAGCACGGCCCUUAUGUCCAGGGCUACACACGUGUUACAAUGGUCGGUACAAAGGGCAGCUACCUGGCAACAGGAUGCUAAUCUCGAAAACCGAUCUUAGUUCGGAUCGAAGUCUGCAACUCGACUUCGUGAAGCUGGAUUCGCUAGUAAUCGCGCAUCAGCCACGGCGCGGUGAAUACGUUCCCGGGCCUGUACACACCGCCCGUCAAGCCAUGGAAGCUGGGGGUACCUGAAGUCCGUAACCGCAAGGA